UGGACCGGUAGCUCAAUCGGUAGAGCUUCGCCCUGUUGCGCCAGGGCACGAGGCAUCGUGGUGUAGGUUCGAAUCCUACCCGGUCCACUAG
rnacentral:tRNA from 1 species